rfam:Alligator mississippiensis ScZkoYb_34, whole genome shotgun sequence.
ACACUGGUGGCUGUGUGGUAGAGUUUCUGCCUACCACGUGGAAGAUCUGAGUUCAAGUCCUAGCUGGGGUG